GCCCUCGUAGCUCAGUUGGUAGAGCAGCGAACUUUUAAUUCGCGGCGCGCCGGUUCGAGCCCGGCCGGGGGCA
rnacentral:tRNA from 1 species